rnacentral:rRNA from 1 species
GUGCCAGCCGCUGCGGUAAUACCGGCAGCCCGAGUGAUGGCCGAUCUUAUUGGGCCUAAAGCGUCCGUAACUGGCUGUGCAAGUCCGUCGGGAAAUCCAUCAGCCCAACUGAUGGGCGUCCGGCGGAAACUGCACGGCUUGGGACCGGAAGACUCGAGAGGUACGUCCGGGGUAGGAGUGAAAUCCCGUAAUCCCGAACGGACCACCGAUGGCGAAAGCACUUCGAGAAAACGGAUCCGACAGUGAGGGACGAAAGCCAGGGUCUCCAACCGGAUUAGAAACCCCUGUAGUCC